rnacentral:lncRNA from 1 species
UUACGUUUAUGCUCAAAAUGGCAAAAAUCUUCCAAUAACUCUUUCAAAAUUUAUUCGAGCCUCAUGGCAUCCCAAUAAAGUAUACUAACAAGUCUCAAAAUACAUUACAGACUUGCUCGAGGCUUUAAAUCACAUCAAACAAUGCUAAAAUAAUGAAUCAACCUCCAAUCCAAGCUUGAUAAACUUUGAAGUAUCCAACUUCUAUUUCUGAUACCGAAACCUAUCAAAUCACGUCUGAUUUACUUCAAAUUUUGCACACAAGUCCAAAAUAACAUGAUGAAGCCAAAAAAAUUCUAAAAAUUCCAUUCCGAGCCUCGGAUCAAAAUCUCACCUAUCAAUCAGAAUUUUCCAAAUUUCUAACUUCGCCAAAAUAGGCUAAUUUCCACACAAAGCCUCCAAAUUCACUUCUGAUUGCUCUCCUAAGCCUUAAAUCAUCCCCCGAAACUAUUCAAACAAUCAGAAAUCCAUUAUGAGCCCUCUAACUCACAAGUCAAUACCCGGUUGAUGUUUCCAACUACCCUUUCCUUAAAAAGACUAUUUGUCUCAUUUCUAGCCGAACUCUAUCUGAAUUACCUCAAUUUUACCAAACACAUAUAAUGAAACAUAUAGAAGCAUAAAACGGGGAAAACGGGGCGGAUAUAUAUGAGACAUAUACCAAACUUUCCCAAUUGAUCUUUUCCAUUGUUAUGAAUAAAGCAUUUACAACCGAAUACUCUAAAAUGGGAGA